rnacentral:rRNA from 1 species
CUGCCAGUAGUCAUAUGCUGUCUCAAAGAUUAAGCCAUGCAUGUCUCAGUACAUACCCUCGAAUGGUGAAACCGCGAAUGGCUCAUCAAAAAGUUAUCGUUCCUUAGAUCGUGUCCUACUUGGAUAACUUCUGACAACCCAGAGCUAAUACAUGCACCAAAGCUCUGACCUUGCGGGAAGAGCGCACUUAUUAGACCAAGACCAACCGGGUUUCGGCCCGUACGUUUGUCGAAUCUGGAUAAUUUUGCUGAUCGCACGGCCUUGUGCCGGCGACAUAUCUUUCAAGUGUCUGCCCUAUCAACUGUCGAUGGUACGUGAUAUGCCUACCAUGGUUGUAACGGGUAACGGGGAAUCAGGGUUUGAUUCCGGAGAGGGAGCAUGAGAAACGGCUACCACAUCCAAGGAAGGCAGCAGGCGCGCAAAUUACCCACUCCCGGCACGGGGAGGUAGUGACGAAAAAUAACGAUACGGGACUCGUUCGAGGCCCCGUAAUUGGAAUGAGUACACUUUAAAUCCUUUAACGAGGAUCAAUUGGAGGGCAAGUCUGGUGCCAGCAGCCGCGGUAAUUCCAGCUCCAAUAGCGUAUACUAAAGUUGUUGCGGUUAAAAAGCUCGUAGUUGGAUCUCGGGCUCGGGCGGAUGGUCCACUGAGUUGUGGCUACUAUUCGUGCGGCCUAUCUGCCGGUUUGCGUCUUAUGCUCUUCACUGAGUGUCUGACGUUGCCGGCUCGUUUACUUUGAAAAAAUUAGAGUGCUCAAAGCAGGCGCAUCGCCUGAAUAUUCGUGCAUGGAAUAAUGGAAUAGGACCUCGGUUCUAUUUUGUUGGUUUUCGGAAUUUGAGGUAAUGAUUAAGAGGGACAGACGGGGGCAUUCGUAUUGCACCGUUAGAGGUGAAAUUCUUGGAUCGGUGCAAGACGAACAACUGCGAAAGCAUUUGCCAAGAAUGUCUUCGUUAAUCAAGAACGAAAGUCAGAGGUUCGAAGGCGAUCAGAUACCGCCCUAGUUCUGACCAUAAACGAUGCCAACUAGCGAUCCGGCGCAGUUACUUCAAUGACUCGCCGGGCAGCUUCCGGGAAACCAAAGUUUUUGGGUUCCGGGGGAAGUAUGGUUGCAAAGCUGAAACUUAAAGGAAUUGACGGAAGGGCACCACCAGGAGUGGAGCCUGCGGCUUAAUUUGACUCAACACGGGAAAUCUCACCCGGCCCGGACACUGUAAGGAUUGACAGAUUGAGAGCUCUUUCUUGAUUCGGUGGGUGGUGGUGCAUGGCCGCUUUUAGUUGGUGGAGCGAUUUGUCUGGUUAAUUCCGAUAACGAACCGAGACUCUAGCCUGCUAAAUAGUUCGUCCGUCUAUUCAGCGGAUGCUAACUUCUUAGAGGGACCAGUGGCGUCCCAGUCACACGAGAUUGAGCAACAGCAGGUCUGUGAUGCCCUUAGAUGUUCGGGGCCGCACGCGCGCUACACUGAAGGAAUCAACUUGUUUCUACCUUGCCCGGAAGGGCCGGGUAAUCCGUUGAAACUCCUUCGUGCUUGGGAUUGGGGCUUGAAAUUCUUCCCCAUGAACGAGGAAUUCCCAGUAAGCGCGAGUCAUAAGCUCGUGCGGAACGCGUCCCUGCCCUUUGUACACACCGCCCGUCGCUACGACCGAGCUGGCUGUUGGGUAGAAGCCGCAGGAUUUCGCCUUGUCUAUGGGCAACUAUCGUCGGGGAUCGGGAGAAUGUGGCUAAUAUCCAGCGAUCGGAGAUCGUAAAAGUCGUAACAAGGUUUCCGUAGGUGAACCUGCCGGAAGGAUCAACAAGCUAUUCUUG